rnacentral:rRNA from 1 species
CCUACGGGAGGCAGCAGUGGGGAAUAUUGGACAAUGGGGGGAACCCUGAUCCAGCCAUGCCGCGUGUGUGAAGAAGGCCCUCGGGUUGUAAAGCACUUUCAGUGAGGAAGAACGCCUGGUGGUUAAUACCCAUCAGGAAAGACAUCACUCACAGAAGAAGCACCGGCUAACUCCGUGCCAGCAGCCGCGGUAAUACGGAGGGUGCGAGCGUUAAUCGGAAUUACUGGGCGUAAAGCGCGCGUAGGUGGCUUGAUAAGCCGGUUGUGAAAGCCCCGGGCUCAACCUGGGAACGGCAUCCGGAACUGUCAAGCUAGAGUGCAGGAGAGGAAGGUAGAAUUCCCGGUGUAGCGGUGAAAUGCGUAGAGAUCGGGAGGAAUACCAGUGGCGAAGGCGGCCUCCUGGACUGACACUGACACUGAGGUGCGAAAGCGUGGGUAGCAAACAGGAUUAGAUACCCUAGUAGUC